UCUGGGAAACUGCCCGAUGGAGGGGGAUAACUACUGGAAACGGUAGCUAAUACCGCAUAACGUCGCAAGACCAAAGAGGGGGACCUUCGGGCCUCUUGCCAUCGGAUGUGCCCAGAUGGGAUUAGCUAGUAGGUGGGGUAAAGGCUCACCUAGGCGACGAUCCCUAGCUGGUCUGAGAGGAUGACCAGCCACACUGGAACUGAGACACGGUCCAGACUCCUACGGGAGGCAGCAGUGGGGAAUAUUGCACAAUGGGCGCAAGCCUGAUGCAGCCAUGCCGCGUGUAUGAAGAAGGCCUUCGGGUUGUAAAGUACUUUCAGCGGGGAGGAAGGGAGUAAAGUUAAUACCUUUGCUCAUUGACGUUACCCGCAGAAGAAGCACCGGCUAACUCCGUGCCAGCAGCCGCGGUAAUACGGAGGGUGCAAGCGUUAAUCGGAAUUACUGGGCGUAAAGCGCACGCAGGCGGUUUGUUAAGUCAGAUGUGAAAUCCCCGGGCUCAACCUGGGAACUGCAUCUGAUA
rnacentral:rRNA from 1 species